ensembl:snoRNA
AUUCUUUGGUAGUUCCUAGGUGUGAUGAUUGGGAAUUCAUGCACACAUGUGAGAUGUGCCUCCCUCAAACCUUGUUUUACAUCAGCGCCUUACCCAUCUAACA